rnacentral:tRNA from 1 species
GGAGAGAUGGCAGAGCGGUCGAAUGCGGCAGUCUUGAAAACUGUUGAUCCUUACGGGAUCCGGGGGUUCGAAUCCCUCUCUCUCCGCCA